GUGCCAGCCGCCGCGGUAAUACGGAGGAUCCAAGCGUUAUCCGGAAUCAUUGGGUUUAAAGGGUCCGUAGGCGGUCAGGUAAGUCAGUGGUGAAAGCCCAUCGCUCAACGGUGGAACGGCCAUUGAUACUGUCUGACUUGAAUUAUUAGGAAGUAACUAGAAUAUGUAGUGUAGCGGUGAAAUGCUUAGAGAUUACAUGGAAUACCAAUUGCGAAGGCAGGUUACUACUAAUGGAUUGACGCUGAUGGACGAAAGCGUGGGUAGCGAACAGGAUUAGAUACCCUGGUAGUCCACGCCGNAAACGAUGGAUACUAGCUGU
rnacentral:rRNA from 1 species